GAUGAAGAACGCAGCGAAAUGCGAUAAGUAAUGUGAAUUGCAGGAUUCAGUGAAUCAUCGAAUCUUUGAACGCACAUUGCGCCCCUUGGUAUUCCGAGGGGCAUGCCUGUUCGAGCGUCAUUAUAACCCCUCAAGCUCAGCUUGGUGUUGGGGCCUGCUGCACUGGCAGCCCUUAAAAUCAGUGGCGGCGCCAUCUGGCUCUAAGCGUAGUAAUUCUUCUCGCUAUGGAGUCCUGGUGGAUGCUUGCCAUCAACCCCCAAUUUUUCUAUGGUUGACCUCGGAUCAGGUAGGGAUACCCGCUGAACUUAAGCAUAUCAAUAAGCGGAGGA
rnacentral:misc_RNA from 1 species